rnacentral:rRNA from 1 species
UACGUAGGGUGCAAGCGUUAAUCGGAGUUACUGGGCGUAAAGCGCGCGUAGGCGGGUUGGUAAGUCCGCUGUGAAAGCCCGGAGCUUAACUCCGGAGGGUCGGUGGAUACUGCCAGUCUUGAAGGUGCUAGGGGGAGAUGGAAUUACCGGUGUAGCGGUGAAAUGCGUAGAUAUCGGUAGGAACACCAGUGGCGAAGGCGGUCUCCUGGGGCAUUCUUGACGCUGAGGCGCGAAAGCUGGGGGAGCAAACGGG